rnacentral:rRNA from 1 species
AUUGAACGCUGGCGGCAGGCCUAACACAUGCAAGUCGAGCGGAUGAAGGGAGCUUGCUCCUGGAUUCAGCGGCGGACGGGUGAGUAAUGCCUAGGAAUCUGCCUGGUAGUGGGGGAUAACGUCCGGAAACGGGCGCUAAUACCGCAUACGUCCUGAGGGAGAAAGUGGGGGAUCUUCGGACCUCACGCUAUCAGAUGAGCCUAGGUCGGAUUAACUAGUUGGUGGGGUAAAGGCCUACCAAGGCGACGAUCCGUAACUGGUCUGAGAGGAUGAUCAGUCACACUGGAACUGAGACACGGUCCAGACUCCUACGGGAGGCAGCAGUGGGGAAUAUUGGACAAUGGGCGAAAGCCUGAUCCAGCCAUGCCGCGUGUGUGAAGAAGGUCUUCGGAUUGUAAAGCACUUUAAGUCGGGAGGAAGGGCAGUAAGUUAAUACCUUGCUGUUUUGACGUUACCAACAGAAUAAGCACCGGCUAACUUCGUG